AACGAACGCUGGCGGCGCGUCUUAAGCAUGCAAGUCGAGCGGCAAGGGUAGCAAUACCCCUAGAGCGGCGGACUGGUGAGUAACACGUGGGUGAUCUACCUUUGGGUUGGGGAUAGCCUGUGGAAACACAGGGUAAUACCGAAUACGGUUGCGCGAUUACGGUUGCGCAAAGAAAGGAGCUACGGCUCCGCCUUAAGAUGAGCCCGCGGCUCAUUAGCUAGUUGGCGGUGUAAUGGACCACCAAGGCAAUGAUGAGUAGCCGGCCUGAGAGGGUGAACGGCCACACUGGGACUGAGAUACGGCCCAGACUCCUACGGGAGGCUG
rnacentral:rRNA from 1 species